AGCUCCUGGGCUAGCACUGCUAGACUUUAGAGCGAGUUAACCUACCUUAACAGCUGCCACCGCAGCCGGGGCUAUGGGUGGGAUAUCCCUCACACACACACACACACACACACACGUUCACCACACAGUCACCACUGAACACGCGCGCGUUUUAACACAUACACACACGCUCUAAACACGGUGCCAGAAUCGCAACAGCAAAGUCAGGUCGACUUAAUCAGUUUGUGCUAAUGAGCCAAAGAGCUGAUCACUGCAAUGGCUUUAGCAUUGUAAAUUGGACUUGAAACAGAGAUCAAUGAAUACGAAUUAAAGUUAUUCGAAUUAAAGUUAUUACAGCCUAGGUGUAAACGCGCCUGCAGGAUUGGUGAACUGCACAGAAGCUAUAGUGCGUAAAAUUUACAGCCCAAGUUAAAGUCCAAGGUUGUGUCACUGGAUGUCCCAGGAUAACUGACAACCAGCACCCCUCUCCCACAACACACAAAGUCACCACUGUAAUCAGAGGCUCGUUACAGUUGAAAAUAUAUGUAAAUUACACCUUCAGUUUUAGUGCUUUGGCCAAUCUAGAUUUCAUUAUAAAGCAGGCUGUAAAUAUACACCACAUUUCCCUCUCACUCUCGUUCUGUAUUCCUAUUUCACACGCUUUUAUUUUGUUGUAAUGGUGAACGAGUUUACUGCCGUAAUAUGGCGUUCAUUUGCUUUAAAUGGUGAUGAAAAAGUAAUUAUAGUCGCAAUCAGUUAUAUCCCAAUUCCGUUUGAUUGCCCGCUCCACUGUAUUCAAAUUGCCUCAAUAAAAUUAAGAACAAUUCGCCUGUAAUGAUUAUGGACCAAGUUUAUUUUCGGAGGUGGAAUAAAAGUGGAUAUAGCAUAAAUUAUCCGCUAAUUAUACGCCAGUGUCGCCUCAAUUAUCCUCUUAUCAAAAAUGGGAGCCUAAAUGCAGCGUUUAGUUUCAAUUUUCUCCCCUUUUCUGUACGCAGAGCUCGCUACCUUGCUAUUAUUGCCAGGGUUGUUAUUUACUUUGCGGCUUUAAAAAGUGCACCAGCGGCCUGGAUCGCCAUUCUCAUCCGGCGCGGCCAUUCAGUCGCUCGAGCUGCUGUCUUUCUGUCGUAACCCUGGUGGGGACCUGUCAGUUAUCCGGUCAGGAAAUUUGCAGGAAAUUCAGCAGUGUCUGCCCCGGAGAGCCCCGCCAACUACGCCCAUCAGAAGCUGUUGUUCACUGAAAUGAAGUGCAGAUUGUAUGCUCCGGCGCAUGGAGCUGCUCGCUGGGUCCUCUCAUCGCAAGAAAGCCCCACCACUGCGGAGGAACAAGCAGGAAUACAUUAAAAGGUAAAGAGAGAUCAGCCAGAAGAGGCACUGCUUGGCACCGUGGUGCUGGAGAGAGCUUUCAGCCUGAUGGUCGUGUCAUCUCUGUUGAGGAGCCAGAAGGGGUGGAGUUCAACGACGUUACUCAUGGCAACGGUUGCUAAGCCUCGCUUCUUGUUGAUGUGGUUAUUUGUAAAUCAAAACUGCGCGCAUGGCAUUAGCAAGUCCUAUUUGCAACAAAGCAAUCGUGCAUUUAUGUAACCUGUACGUACUUUCAUGCACAAUUGUGAAAAACCUAGAGGAUUUGAAUAAAUAUUUCAAAUGAGCCUUUUCAGAUGCCGCAUGUGUCAUUUACUCUAGGGCAAUCAUGGUAUGGGAGGAUCUGAAAUUACACCCUUCAAGGUUCCCUUAGUAGAAGCAAUUGUUAUGUAUAGAACCCUGGCUGACGACUCAACAAAUCUUCUGAAAGCUUAAAUGGUUCUUCUACAUAAUAGAGGAUUUGAGAGAACCUGCUCUGCAUGAAUAUAUUAGCUUAUAUACAGACAGUAUAUAUUAAUUUUCAGUUGAAGUUACAGUUACAUUUAUGAUAUUUAGCAGAAGCUCUUAACUAGAGCAACCUAAGGAAGUAUUUAGAUGUCCACUAAGAAAAAAAUCCUACCUAGUUUAAAUAGACUAGGGUUCAAAGAUGCUGUUAAGCAGAGAUACGACAAAAUAUAUAGAUCAGAUAUACAUACAUCCAUAUUAGUGACAAAGAAAUAAUUUAGAAAUCAAAAAAGACAUUUAAUUGGUUCUAUGCAUUACCCAAAAAGGUUCUAUACUUUCUCCAAGCCACGUAACCUUUAUUAUUCAUGUACUAUGUGAAUUGCAGCAGUGCGCCAAAAAUGAUAUGAAUAAAUGUUUUAAACUGGCCUUUAAAGAAACUGCAUGUGUCAUCUACUCUAUUGCAGGCAUCUUAUGGGAGGAUCAUAAAAUUACACCCUUCAAAGCUUCUUUAGCAAAGGUCCAGGAUAUUAAUAGAACAGUAAAUGCUUUCUAAAGGCCUGAACAGUGAAGAUCUUACUGUAUUUGCUUGUAUCUGGUUUUAAUGGUUCUAUGCAGUAAAAGCUUGUUUAGUGAAGGUCCUGAAUAUAAUAUCACUGUCCAAGAAAAAAAGAAAAAUAUAUUUUUUUUACAGUAAUUGUUUUUCUUCACCUAUAAAUUACUAUUUUGGAAAUACUUGUUUUUCUUUGGACAGUGAUGAUGUAUAAAAUUACAAAGAAUCUCCAGAAUGUUUUCUGAAUGGCUCACUGGUAAAGAUCUUACGCUAUAUAUUUCAUAAAUCUGCUCUUCAAUCAUUCUAUACAGCACCAAAAGGUUUCUUCUCCAGUUUCAAGCCACAAACCCCUUUUUUCAUGUACUAUGUGAAAUGCAUUAAAUAUGAUAACAAUAAACAUUUCAAGCUGGUCUCUUCUAAAACUGCAUGUCUCUUCUUCCUUAUAUUAAGAAUUUUGGAGAAGAACCAUGAAAUCACAAUCUUCAAUGGGUUCUUUAGCAACGGUAUUUGAUGUAUAGUACAGUUACAAUUCAAUUAACCAAUAAUUUAAUGGAUUACUGCAUAUAUAUACUAUGUGAAAUGCACCAGUGCACCAAAAUGAGUGACUAUCACUAAAUAUUUCAAACUGGCCUUUCAUGUACUUUAUGUCAUCUGCUCUAUUGCAAACAUCUGAUGGGAGGAUCAUAAAAUGACACCCUUCAAAGCUUCUUAAGUAAAGGUCCUGGUUAAAAAUAGAACAGUGACAAACACAAAGAACCUUCUGAAUGCUUUCUGAAAGCCAUGGUGGUGAACCUACUGCAUAUGUUUAUAUCUGUUUCUUUAAAGGCUUAUUUUUAAGGUACCAAAAUGGUUUCUCUAUGGUAACAAGUACACAUAAUGUUUAUACACUUUAUGUGAAAUGUAUCAAAGACUAUAUGAAUAAAUAAACCAUAUGGACAUAGUA